CAGUCAAACAGGAGGUGGCCAAUUAGAGAGCAGCAGAGCAAGCUUUAUGGGCACACACAGAUCUAUGAUAAAGGGGAAAAAAAGAACUGAAGGAAUACAGAAGCAGUUGUCUUAUUUUAUGAGCUAUUCGGAAUCACUUAAUCAAGGGCACGGCAGACAGUAGCAGAAAGAGCAGAAGAAAGCUGUCUCCUUACCUGAAGUUUACAAAAAUUUAGUUAAAAGCUGGUUUGAAGUGAGCCAUCAUAACAACACUAGCCCAGUUCUGUCUUUCGACUCAAAACAUAUUUCAAAGCUAACAAGUUAUGAGACACUGUUGCAGGCACCAACGCCAUCUCAUCAAUAUGAAAAACUGGAUUGUAAGAACUGCCAGGAUGAAAGUACAGGAAAAAGCCAUGAAAUUUGGUAUUUGAAGAACAACAUCAAAAGACAGCAGCUUACCUAGAAAAACCCACAAUAAAUUUAAUAUUUUUAGAGUACUGUAUGUGGUAUAGGAAUAAUAUCCAAUGCUCAACUGUUACUUUCCCUGUGCUUUAAUAUGUGAAAUAGAAACAACUGUGUUAUUUAUUUACUCUUUUUCUAUUUCCACUUCCUACCUUUCAUUUACUGUUUGACUAGAAACUUGGUUUCUAGGGGCAUACCGUUAUGUAACAAAAUUUGAAAAUAAAAUUGUUUCUGGUUUAAACAUGUUA